rnacentral:rRNA from 1 species
GACAGAGGGUGCGAACGUUGUUCGGAAUUACUGGGCGUAAAGCGCGUGUAGGCGGCAACGUGUGUUCGGGCGUGAAAUCCCACGGCUCAACCGUGGAAGUGCACUCGAAACUGCGUAGCUAGAGUCCUGGAGAGGAAGGUGGAAUGCGUUGGUGUAGAGGUGAAAUUCGUAGAUAUCAAGCGGAACACCGGUGGCGAAGGCGGCCUUCUGGACAGUGACUGACGCUGAGACGCGAAAGCGUGGGGAGCAAACAGG